UGGGGAAUCUUGCACAAUGGAGGAAACUCUGAUGCAGCGACGCCGCGUGAGCGAUGAAGCCUUUCGGGGUGUAAAGCUCUUACGCCAGGGACGAUAGUGACGGUACCUGGAGACGCAGCUGCGGCUAACUACGUGCCAGCAGCCGCGGUAAUACGUAGGCAGCAAGCGUUGUUCGGAAUUACUGGGCGUAAAGGGUGCGUAGGCGGUGCUCUAAGUUUGGUGUGAAAUCUCCCGGCUCAACUGGGAGGGUGCGCCGAAAACUGGAGUGCUUGAGUGCGGGAGAGGAAAGCGGAAUUCCUGGUGUAGCGGUGAAAUGCGUAGAGAUCAGGAGGAACACCUGCGGUGUAGACGGCUUUCUGGACCGUAACUGACGCUGAGGCACGAAAGCGUGGGGAGCAA
rnacentral:rRNA from 1 species